AACACAUUUGUAGACCACCAGAUGCCGUCUGCUUUUCUGUUAGACUGACCAAGUCAACUCACAUAGGACAAGUUUGAUGAAACUGUAAAGUAUGAAGUUACCGCAGGGGCUUUUAGGGGAGAAGGGGAGAGGCAGCUGCAUCGAGGAGGAGAUAAGAUUCCAAGAGCCGUCGUCCUUCAUCUCUACAAAAUGCCAAUCUGCAAAGGAUAUCUCAUUUUACCGAGAAGAUUGCGACCUGCAAAGAAAGCCCACUGUAUUUUGAAAACCGAGUUUCAGAUUAUCGAAAUAGGGCGAAAUAAGGCAAAUCCUUGUAAGUAUUGGCUGCCGGAAGGAAGGAGUAGACUCAGGGCUGCUCCAACUGCGCUGUCGAAGAGACAUGCUGAUGGUUCAUUGCCAAUUGAAGAUUUCAACAUAGUACUUGAAAAUCAGAGUGGGAAGAAAGUACAAAUGGGAUCGGAGACUGAUCAGCAGUAUGAUUUAAUCAGGGUUCAGGCAAUCAUGAUGAGCCUGAUGUUACAUACCAAUGCAAAGCAACUGAUUAAAGCACAAAAUUACAAAGAUGCAAUGGAAGUGCUCAGCAUGGAGGAGGAGGCUUUCUCUCUGCGAUCCAUCGGUUAUUAAGCUGGUCGAUAAUCCUUCUAUACUGCAAAUCGAUAUGGUUUGGUGUUAUUUCAUGCUUAGAGACAUCAACUGGCUCUCAGUGGCAAGAAUUCGCCUUGAGAAAGCCAGAGAAGGUCUUGAACGAGCUCAUGGAAAGGACUCUUCUCGUGUUAGACUCCUUCAGGCAGAUAUUUGAUACUGGAGCUGCUGGAAGGGGUGGCGGCGUAUCACCGUGGUCAGGUUGAUAAGUCAAUGAAGGUGUUGACUUCUGUACAAGAGUUGUUCACCCAGCUUCAGGUGCUGGAUGAAUCUCUUUCUCUUGUGAUGAUUAUGGGCUUCAGAGAACGAGAUACAAAAAGGGCACCGAGGAUGAGCAAUCAAGAUGUUUCCAUCAGCCCUGUAUAGUCGUUAGUCAUCCUAAGAGUUUCUUGACUUUGCAGGUUUGAAAAGGAGCUUGCUGCUGAAGCACUAUGAGGAAAUGACAGUGGAGAAGGCAUUCGAUUUGACAAAUCCACAGACCAAUUCUUCCAUACAGCAACAUCUUGAAUCGAGGAAAAGUAAACUACAGUGCCAAGCAGUAGAUGCUUCAGUUGAAGCUUUUGUACGCAUGGCCUUUGACAGAUCAUUAGCAGUCUUAGCUUUGCAGGGUGGAGGGACAAUGGACCAAGCAAUCUGUCCACUGCUCUCGGGACAGGCACCAAACACCACAGAUGCAGCUAACCAAUCUGAGGCAAUUCCUGCAGUCAAUGCUAACAACAAUAGUCAAUCUGAUGUUGCAAUUGACAUUGCAAAUUCUCUUGCGUCAAUGCUUGAUAAUCAAAAUGGUCAAGUUGGAGGUCCUUCAACGUCUAGUAAUGCAUCAGAGCGUGAUUCAGAAAUGGAAAGCCAACUUGCUGAAGAACUAGCACAAGGAGAUGCUUUCACUGACUAUGAUAUUGAAGUUACUAGACAAGGUGAAGUCAUAAGUGAGUACUUAGCUCUACUGAAUUCAGCGGGAACAAAGUGAAUAUCACUCUGCCAAUAAGAAUUGCGACUUUAACAACCAUGCAUGUACAUGUAUAAUAACAAUAGGUCAAGGAUCUAGUUAUGGUGAUGGUGUUCCAGAUGAUCAAUGUCUUUGAUCCGGCAUUUUCCCGACCGUUCCAAGACUAAUAUUGGUGCCAUGUAGUUUAUCUAACCCGCCUUUCACCAUUU